CGCUUAUUACAUACUGUUUUAGUAAGCGCUGUCAGCAGCAUGUCAUUUUACACUCGCUGCUUGCAAGAGCUUCCCCGGAUUACGGUGAACGACGUCAACCGAAUUGUGAGGUUGGCAUCUGUCACUCCUUCCAGUAAAAAGGAGAAAGGAUUUAAAUUGUACAUUUCGAGUUACAUCGACAACUUUGAGGAUUGUGUUAAAGGACUCCAGCCCUGUCAUAUUGUCCCAGUGCAGCUGUUCUUGUGUUGCUGGCACUGCACUGUGUAAUCACAUAGUUGCACUACUGUACCAGGCAGCACAUUUCUCUCAGCUUGGCAUCAGUGCAGUUCCUCCAGUGAGCAGCUGUACUGAAACGGAGCAGAGCUGGCACAAACCAAGAACAAUGGGAGUCCGGCCAGGUCCUGUCACUGGGAUGGUGGUUUUAUCUGCAAGACCUAAAGAGAGGAAACUUGCUGCUGGUCUAAGG